UACGAAGGGGGCUAGCGUUGCUCGGAAUCACUGGGCGUAAAGCGCACGUAGGCGGAUUGUUAAGUCAGGGGUGAAAUCCUGGAGCUCAACUCCAGAACUGCCUUUGAUACUGGCGAUCUUGAGUACGGGAGAGGUGAGUGGAACUCCGAGUGUAGAGGUGAAAUUCGUAGAUAUUCGGAAGAACACCAGUGGCGAAGGCGACUCACUGGCCCGUUACUGACGCUGAGGCGCGAAAGCGUGGGGAGCAAACAGG
rnacentral:rRNA from 1 species